rnacentral:rRNA from 1 species
UACGUAGGGUGCGAGCGUUGUCCGGAAUCAUUGGGCGUAAAGCGCACGUAGGCGGUCUGUUAUGUCGGAUGUGAAAGCCCUUGGCUUAACUGAGGAAGUGCAUCCGAAACUGGCAGGCUAGAGUACUAAAGAGGGUCGCGGAAUUCCCGGUGUAGAGGUGAAAUUCGUAGAUAUCGGGAGGAACACCGGUGGCGAAGGCGGCGACCUGGGUAGAUACUGACGCUGAGGUGCGAAAGCGUGGGGAGCAAACAGG